GACAGAGGAGCCAAGCGUUGUCCGGACUGACUGGGCGUAAAGCGCCCGCAGGCGGUCGUUCAAGUCGCGUGUGAAAGCCCCCGGCUCAACUGGGGAGGGUCACGCGAUACUGGUCGACUCGAAGGCAGGAGAGGGUAGUGGAAUUCCCGGUGUAGUGGUGAAAUGCGUAGAUAUCGGGAGGAACACCAGUGGCGAAGGCGACUACCUGGCCUGUUUCUUGACGCUGAGGCGCGAAAGCUAGGGGAGCAAACGGGG
rnacentral:rRNA from 1 species